UAUUUUCUGCGUAGAUAUGAUUUGUUGUUGAUAUUCCACCAAGAGUGUGUCAGCCAUAAACAUCUCUAAUAGCUGAAAAAGAAAAGAGAUUCACUGUUCCUCAGAAAGGACUUAAAAUCUGUUUCCACAACUGAAAGAAUACCCUGUACCAAAACACUUCAGUAGAUGAAAAAGAACAAAUAUGGGCUGAGGCAGAAGUGGAGCGCAUAGGACCCACCAUUCAUGAAGAGACUGAAGACUUGCAUUGCGAGGAAGACUCAAAUGAGGGGCAGCCCAAAUACUUCUUCCAAAAAAGCUGAGCUGGCAUGAAGUACACAGCAAGCUGACAAAUACAUGCUUCUCCCAUUGCAAAGAUGGCAAUAUGCAAACAGAAGACUGAGAGUCAGGCUAUUCAUCGGACCAGCUGACAAUUUCA
ensembl:lncRNA